CCAUCUGCUUAUCUUUCGGAAAUGAUGGAUAUCCACCGGCGUCGCUCACCAGACGACAAUGGCCGAACAUUCAGCAUUCGCCAAUAUUGUCUUAUUCAAUUCUUUUGAAAUUCGUGAACGUUUUUCGACUUUUGUGUAUAUCGAAGUUCAUUUGUAGAAGGCCAAAGAGUGUAUUUCAACCCAGAGAAUACAGUAUAUCCAACGGAAACACUUCCAACAACAAAAUUAACAUUGACGAGUUUUUUUUCAACUUGCGUCAGUGCUCUAUUUGGAAAUGCCUGGAUAUUUUACAUGGAAUGUAUCGUCGAAGAAAUAGUUACACAGAAAACAAGGCCAAGCAGUAGGUGGACAUGCGGGUGUGUUCUCAACUAAUGCAUUAGGACGCAUUUACACAAUCCACCCGAAAAAUGACGAUUGCUUCUACCUUUGGUUGAUAUUCAUUAAUUUACGGGGUUCAAUUUUUUUUUAGUCAUUUCUUACUAUGAAUGGUACGUUAAUCACAGAGAAGGUUCACGGCGCGGAGAUCGUAAAAAUAUUUUUGGCUAACUCGGUCGAGAUGGAAGAGUUUCACCAGAGAACGUAUAUUUAAAGAGAAGGUCCAACAACGGACAGGCGUGUAAACUGUCAAAAGCUAACAAAAUGCGAUGAGUGCAUUUCACCACAGCUAGCUAAGAAGGAGAAACUUUAACAGUGGCGCGUGAACAGAGCUGAGCAUUCAAUGAAAAUUAUGCUCAGAAAUACACAUUAGAGGUAUUCUCUUGCUCUUGCAAAACCCGGUGCACGGUGCAAGCAUUGCAAAUUUACAACGGCACAACAACAAACACACGCAGAAAAAUAUUUGCAAGGGCUGUGAAAUAUGACAGACCAAAACCCGUGUAUAUUAGCGUGCAAUGUCACGCAAAAAUAAAAUUGCGACCCUGUUGUAGUUGCCAUUUUACAUAAAGACAUAUUACGUCGUUAAAUUGUUGAGAAAGGUAAAUUUUAAUUAGAUUUUAUAAUUUCUAUUUAAAUUAUAAAGUUUUGUUACAGUUUUUUUUGUUAAAAAUGUAUGCAGAAGGUGCGCCAAUUCACAAUAGCCAUGCAAAAUAGUCAUUUACAAUAAAUUGACUGAAUCAGUCGCUCAUACAUAUAUCACUAGAUUCUGCAGUGGGUGCUCUCGUGCCCUUCCAUAUUUCGGUGUAGUAUUUUUGCAAUCUGCAAUCUUGCAAGAGCAAGAGAAUACCCCUAUUCUUAUUGAAGACGUAUGUUAGUCUUUUGGAUAUAAUUUUGUACGUUUUUACAUGCAAUCAUAUUAAUUGAUAUGAUUAUCAUUUUGCGUAUUUUUCUGAAUACAUGCAAAACUGAUAACAUUCUAAUUAAAUUAUGCUAUUUUCAAAACUAUACAUAUUUGUAGCUAAUGUGCGGAUAAGAGUUAUUUAUUAAAUAUUUAUAAUGUUUGAUAAUAUUAUAUAAUUUCAUAUAAAUAUGUAUGAAUGUGGUUGUAUAUACAUACAUAUAUACAUAUGUAUAUGAGAUACCCUAAAACACUUAAUAUUAUAUAUGUAUUACAACAAUAUCAUAUGUAAAUCACAUUUCAUUAUUUAAAUUUUCACAUGCAUCUUGAUAUUAGCACAUAGUUACAUACAUACUUAUGUAGGUAGAAUUCAAAUUCAAAUCGUAAUGUUAUCAUUUAUCAGUAAAAAGUGUGCGCGCACUGCUCUAUAUGUACAUACAUAUGCAUAUGUGUACGACAUUGCUAAACAAAUAACCCUGCCAGCAAUUCGAUAGUCAACUACGCAAAAAACACAUUUCUAGUUAACUUCUAUGAACUAACUAAAAGCUAACUACAAUGUAAUACAUAAAUACCCCACAUCAGGACGAGCAUAGAGAAUGCACGUGUUUUUGUUUUUGAUUUAUUUUCGCAUCUUUACUGUUAGUUCUUUGGAAUCUCUCUUUUCGUUAUUAGUAGGCUGUAGUCAAUUGUCCAAGAAUCAGUUGAUCAAUGGUGUGCAAGCAAAAGUGACACAAAAUUUUAAAAGAUAAAGUUAUUAAUUAAAUUAAAAAUAGUACAAAGUUAAUAAAAAAAGUAUAAAAAGUUUAGAUGUCGAUACUAAAUAUUAAACGUUCCACAUUCAGUAUUCAACCAAUGCCUCAGUGUAAGUAUUAACUACAAUAAAAAUGUUGUAUAUAACCUGGCUUCAUAGAAAUGGGUUUACAGAUAGCGACGAAACAAGCUGCUGCCCAGGUUGUAGCAGCCUGAAGGAAAAUAUUGAGCAACAAUUUAAGGAGAUGAACGGUAAGAAAUUCAAAUUGCAAAAAAUUAGCGAAACUUAAAUUAAUUUAAAUGUAAAAAAAUUCAUUUCAGAUACUAUACAAAAGCAUCAAGGUAAUUAAUCCUUUUAAAACAGAUUAUUAUUUAUAUUAAAUAUAAAUAAUUUCACUACAUCUUAAUUCUUAUUAUUAUUCGUUACCAAAUGCAAUGCAAUUAUGAAGUCGUUGGCUGAGCAGAAAGUGUUGACGGAAAGGAUUCUUCACCAAGAGGUAACCCAACAAUAAUGUACGUGCAGUUUUCCCCAUAAAAAGUGUCAACGACUUCAACACUAUUAUUAGUGAGGACAAUCGUGAUAUCUACGUUAACAGGAUGAAGCUUUGUUAAAAGGACGCCUGGCGAAAACAUUGACAGAUGUUAUUUCCCAAAGUGUGUGCAUAGAAGUCAAUUUGGAUGGAGUCCACGGCAAGAAGCGCUUGAAAGAUUGCAAAGCUUUUUACCAAACUUUAAUGGGUAACCCAUAUAUUGAAAGCAUAUACAUAUGUAUGUAUACAUAUUUCCAAUAACAUAGCUCAAAUAUAUUUUAAAUAAUUUA